rnacentral:rRNA from 1 species
GGGGCCCGCACAAGCGGCGGAGCAUGCGGAUUAAUUCGAUGCAACGCGAAGAACCUUACCAAGGCUUGACAUGGACCGGACCGGGCUGGAAACAGUCCUUCCCCUUUGGGGCCGGUUCACAGGUGGUGCAUGGUUGUCGUCAGCUCGUGUCGUGAGAUGUUGGGUUAAGUCCCGCAACGAGCGCAACCCCUAUCUUAUGUUGCCAGCACGUUAUGGUGGGAACUCAUGGGAUACUGCCGGGGUCAACUCGGAGGAAGGUGGGGAUGACGUCAAAUCAUCAUGCCCCUUAUGUCUUGGGCUUCACGCAUGCUACAAUGGCCGGUACAAAGGGCUGCAAUACCGCGAGGUGGAGCGAAUCCCAAAAAGCCGGUCCCAGUUCGGAUUGAGGUCUGCAACUCGACCUCAUGAAGUCGGAGUCGCUAGUAAUCGCAGAUCAGCAACGCUGCGGUGAAUACGUUCCCGGGUCUUGUACACACCGCCCGUCAAGUCAUGAAAGUCGGUAACACCUGAAGCCGGUGGCCUAACCCUUGUGGAGGGAGCUGUCGAAGGUGGGACUGGCGAUUGGGACUAAGUCGUAACAAGGUAACCGUAAGGGC